GUCGUAGCUCAGUUGGUUUUAGAGUAGUGCUGAUAACGCCAAGGUUGCAGGUUCGAUCCCCUUAUGGGACA